rnacentral:tRNA from 1 species
GGCCUUAUAGUCAAUAAUGAUAUUAGACUGCAAUUCUAAAGGAGUAAUAGUUACUAAGGCUU